AUUGAACGCUGGCGGCAGGCCUAACACAUGCAAGUCGAACGAGUGGCGGACGGGUGAGUAAUGUCUGGGAAACUGCCUGAUGGAGGGGGAUAACUACUGGAAACGGUCGCUAAUACCGCAUACCAUCGGAUGUGCCCAGAUGGGAUUAGCUAGUAGGUGGGGUAAAGGCUCACCAAGGCGACGAUCCGUAGCUGGUCUGAGAGGAGGACCAGCCACACUGGAACUGAGAGUCGGUCCAGACGCCUACGGGAGGCAGCAGUGGGGAAUUGUGGAAAAUGGGCGAAAUCCUGAUGCAGCCAUGCCGCGUGUAUGAUGAAGGCCUUCGGGUUGUAAAGUACUUUCAGCGGGGAGGCGGUACCCGCAUAAUAAGCACCGGCUAACUCCGUGCCAGCAGCCGCGGUAAUAC
rnacentral:rRNA from 1 species